rnacentral:rRNA from 1 species
UAAUACGGAGGGAGCUAGCGUUGUUCGGAAUUACUGGGCGUAAAGCGUGCGUAGGCGGUUAUUCAAGUCAGAGGUGAAAGCCCGGGGCUCAACCCCGGAACUGCCUUUGAAACUAGAUAGCUAGAAUCUUGGAGAGGUCAGUGGAAUUCCGAGUGUAGAGGUGAAAUUCGUAGAUAUUCGGAAGAACACCAGUGGCGAAGGCGACUGACUGGACAAGCAUUGACGCUGAGGCACGAAAGCGUGGGGAGCAAACAGG